rnacentral:misc_RNA from 1 species
CUGGUUGGUGAGUGCGGCUGGCUGUUAGAUCAGCUGGGCUUUACUCCUACGGUAGUGAAAUAGAGUAGCGUAGAAGUUGGCAGUCGUAAAAGCCAGACCUAGUAAAUGAUCCACUCGUACACAUAGGCAAACAUAAUUAGUACUGGAGUUAGGAAUAGAACUACUAAACUCUCGGCCUAUGUUGGGAUUAAAAGCCGACUGCAUUCAUCUUCCCAGAUGACGUCAUGCUUGUGGGUGGUGGUGUGGUGAGUAAACCUGCACCCUAUCUACAAACUGAAGAAGCAUAUGGAAAUUACACAGGGAGUGAAGUACCGUCAAACAUACAGCAAUCUGUAAAAGAACAGGAGGCUCAGUUUCAGAGAUUAUCUGAAAAACUUGACAUUGGAAGACAACCCGUAGCCAACAAAUUGAAAAAGUGUAGGUUAAAUAGUGACACCCCAACCAUGACUAGCGCCCCUAAUGUUAAUGGAGACUCCCACAACUGGCGUAGUCCAGCAUUACAUGAUUCUCCCGGAGCUGUCUCCUCUAUUCAUAGUGAUGUCCUCGAGGACUCACCGGAUGAUUCUAAAAUGAGCUCACAUCUGUUGGAUUCCUGCAUGAGAGCUUUAGAAGAACGCGGAACAAUGAAUUUCGGAUAUUCACGGGAAAUGGAUUAUGGUUAUGAAGCCGACACGCACUUAGAUAACCCUGACCAGUAUUACGCUACUGUUGCUCCGACCUUAGCAAAUAUGCCAAGCAAUGCAUCUUUUGACCAAUACAGUGACCAUUCGCUUGCUUCUUCACACUUAUCACUCCAAAAUGCUGGUGUAUACAAGGCAAGAGCUGCCCCAACACAGGCUCCAAGAAAAGUAAUAAAUCCUCCAGAAUUACCACAAGCUGCCAGGAGUUCAAUUUCUUCGCUUCCACAAGAACAUUUAGAUGAUGGAUAUAAUCGGUACCCUGCUCGUGUUAGAGGCAUGGAACCUAUGGCUCCAGACAGUCGGAGCUCUCCCCGUCCACAGAUGGCAUCCAACCGAGCAGGAUCAGUGACGCCAACCAGGUCAAAUAUUUACCAUCUUCCAAAUCACCCCAUUCCUCAAAGCUUAAAAUCUAAGCAAAUUCUUGGAAACCCCAAGCCUGCAACUUCCAUGACCAUAGUACCUCCUCACAGACAGAAUCCAGGCCCUUGUUCCACAUUUUAUGCUCCUCAACGUCAUAUAGUACAUUCUAAAUGGUCUAGGGAUACUGAUUAUUAUAAUGACCGCAGUAAUUACCACAACAACGCACCAUUGAUAGGGGGAAACAUUCAAUAUGGAGAUUUACCCCCUUAUCCAGAAGUUUACCCUAAUGACCCCGCCAUGAGACAUCUUCCAUAUGAAAACAAUGCAUUUGAUCCCCCGGUGCACAGUUCUGUGGUGAGCCCCCACUAUCGUGAUUCUCCUGUUGGAGAGCCUGUUAUUGGUUAUGCAAAUUCUUACCGUGAAUCGCCUUACGACUUGCGGCACAACAACGAACCUGUUCUGGAUAAAUACAACAAGCCUCUCAUGGCCAACAACGGUAGAUACCCUGACGAUGGUUUGGACCUUAUGUAUCGUGGUUCUCCAUCGCAUCAGGAGCCGGGAUUACCUUAUGGCAUUGAUGAUGUUGACAAACGACACCAAGGUCUACCUCCUGUCAGGGUCGAUCCCUUUGCUGAUGACCUAUUCAAGGACCAAGUUCAAGAUGACGUAAUUCAUAAUGGACCUCCACCAUUACCAGAGAUGUCUACAUUUCGACAGACACCAUCACCAGCUAUUGGAAGUGAUAGAUAUGUUCCAAACCAAUAUGGUGAUGGACCCCCAUCAUAUCGGGAGCUUGACCGGGACAAAAAAUAUGGCAAAAAUGAAUUUCCAGCUGACUAUAUGAAUGAUCCAGUGAGUGGACAUCCUGCACAUUUAGGAAACUACAAAGAAGAGGAUGGAACUUAUUUUGUGGAUAAUACCAUCCCAAGGAGGAGACCGGAUUACUAUAAUAUUGAAAGCUCCAAACCACCCGAUGAAGAAUCUGAUGGCUUAGCUUCAUCAUCGGUGGAUGGCAGGUUAUCUCCAAGACUACGAAAGCCAGAUCUGCAGGAGGUGAUAGAUUUCCUUGGCAGUCCCAACGAUGCCAUCAAAGCAGACUCGGCUGGUUACCUUCAACAUCUCUGUUUUAUGGACGAUGAUGUUAAAGCUAAAACAAGAGCCCUUGGGGGCAUUCCUCCUCUUAUCGCACUGCUGAAUCAUGAAAUUCCUGAGGUACAUAAGAAUGCAUGUGGGGCCCUGAAAAAUUUAUCUUAUGGACGAAACAAUGAUGAUAAUAAGAAAGCCAUAAAAAAUGCAUCUGGUGUUCCAGCAUUGACCCGACUUUUACGGAAAUCUUCAGAUGAAGAAGUUAAAGAAAUGGUUACUGGUGUCUUAUGGAAUCUGUCUUCAUGUGAAGAUCUUAAAAAAGCCAUCAUUGAUGAUAGUUUGACUGUCUUGGUUAUGAUUGUAAUGAUUCCACAUUCUGGUUGGGGUCGGCAAGGAACUGCUCAACCUCAGCCACCACCUGGACAGCUAUGGACUACAGUUUUUAGAAAUGCUAGUGGUGUUAUAAGAAAUAUUAGCUCUGCUGGUUAUCAAAGUAGGAAAAGAUUACGAGAGUGUGACGGCCUUGUAGAAUCACUUAUACAUACAGUAAAAACAGCAAUUGGUCAAAGUGACAUCGAUAACAAGCCUGUAGAAAAUUGUGUCUGUAUUCUUCGGAAUUUGUCAUAUCGUAUCCAAGAAGUGGACGAUCCAGAUUUUUUCAAAAAACGAACGCAACAACGACAACAGAAGAUGUUAGAAAAGGGAGAAAACACAGGUUGUUUUGGUGGUGCUGGGAAGAAGAAAAAUUCUCAAAAAACUGAGAUGAAAGCAAAGCCAGACCCCAGCUCUCAUAAAUUAACACCUCCAAAAGGCCAAGAAAUACUUUGGCAUCCAGAUAUCGUUCAUAUAUAUCUUCCCUUGUUGGCUGAUUGCUCUAACCCAGUAACUUUAGAGGCUGCUGUUGGUGCAAUUCAAAACUUAGCUGCUUGUGAUUGGCAGCCUGGUAUAGAUAUCCGUGCUGCUGUUCGAAAAGAAAAAGGAUUGGCUAUCAUAGUUGAACUGCUGGGUGUAGAAUCUGACAAAGUGGUGUGUGCUGCUGCUACUGCCUUGAGAAAUCUUGCCUUGGAUCAAAGAAAUAAAGAACUAGUUGGCAAAUAUGCUAUGAGGCAAUUGGUACUGAAACUACCUUCAGACAAUCGGCAAUCAGAAGCAACCACAGAUGAUACCAUUUGUGCAGUCAUUGCAACACUUUAUGAAAUUAUAAAGAAAAACCCAGAUUUUGCUCAUUCACUAUUAGCAGAAGGUGGAGUCAGCCGUUUAGUAUCGAUAACCCAAUCCGAGGGAGCUUUUCUAGAAAAAACAGUCAGAUAUUCAGCCAUGGUGCUUCACACUAUGUGGCAGUUUAAAGAGCUUAGCGGAGAAUAUAGAAAACAGGGCUACACAGAAACUGAUUUCAAUACAAAAACUUCGACUUUCAGGACCAGAAAAAUGGAGAAAACCAAUUCAAAUAACAAAAUUGUGAACAACACUCCAACAAGUACGCUGAAUCGUCCAGUUUCUGGUCAAGGUUAUGAUGACAGCACAUUGUCCCCAACACGGCCAUUAACAAAGAACAGCGUUCCUGGCACUUACCCUCCCCGAGAUAACCAAGAUGCCAACAUGGGCUGGCUGCCAAAAGGCAGUAUCUGUGAAAAUGGCAGUGGUGGUGGUGGCAGUGCUGGAUCAGAAAUCCAUUGCAGUAAUGAAAGGAUCAGAAAGAAAAGUCGGAUUCAAUACCUUUAAAUGACAUGGGACCUGGCUAUCAAACCCUGGGAGACCAGCGAGGUCAUCCAAAAUUCACAAAUGCUUCUGGGCCAACAUCUAGUCUUGAGCCUCAACCGUUGACACUGGUUAACUCCCAUGGUGAACCCCUAUAUGCACAAGUAAACAGAUCUUCAGCAAGAAAUGCCCAGGAGAGUUCCAACCCGACACAGAACAGUUCCGAGUAUCACUUUGAAAAUCCCGGAAA